AAGGCCUGAUGUGUGUGAGAUUACCCGCUGAAUUUAAGCAUAUAAGUAAGCGGAGGAAAAGAAACUAACUAGGAUUCCCUUAGUAAUGGCGAAUGAACAGGGAUCAGCUCAGUGCCAAAUCGGAAUCACUUGUGGUUCUGAAAUGUGGCUUGAAGGCAGUACCAGUGGCAUCGCGGACGAAAGUCUCUUGGAAAAGAGCGUCAUAGAGGGUGAGAAUCCCGUGAGUCGUUCGCCGUUUGUCACGUACGGUCUGCGUUCUAACGAGUCGCGUUCCUUGGGAUUGGAGCGUAAACGGGUGGUAAAUUUCAUCCAAAGCCAAAAAUAUAUACUCGAGACCGAUAGCACAAAA
rnacentral:ncRNA from 1 species